AAUUAUAUACUUGAAUAAUUUUGAACGAAAGGGAAUACGGUUCCAAUUCCGUAACCUGUUGAGUAUCCGUUUGUUAUUAAAUAUGGGCCUCGUGCUCAUCCUGGCAACAGGAACGACCAUAAAGAAGCCGUCGAGAGAUAUCGGAAGAGUUUUCUUUUCUGUUUUAUAGUCGUACUACCAUGGAAGUCUUUCGCAGAGAGAUAUGGUAGAUGGGCUAGAAGAGCAUGACAUAUACUGUUGUGUCGAUAUUUUCUCCUCGGACCUUGAAAAUUUAUGGUGGGGAUACGCAAACUUCUCAACAGGCCGUACCAAUAUCCGCAGCUGGUCUCCAAGGUGAAGAGUCUCUAGUCGAUAGAAUAAUGUAGGUAAGGGAAGUCGGCAAAUUAGAUCCGUAACUUCGGGAUAAGGAUUGGCUCUGAAGAUUGAGAUAGUCGGGCUUGAUUGGGAAACAAUAAUAUGGUUUAUGUGCUCGUUCUGGGUAAAUAGAGUUUCGAUCAUUUAUGGUUGUAACUUGUUCCCCGGAUAGUUAGUUACGUAUCCAAUUGUGGAACUUUCUUGCUAAAAUUUUUAAGAAUACUAGUUGGGUCAAACCAAUUAGUUCUUAUUAAUUAUAACGAUUAUCAAUUAACAAUCAAUUCAGAACUGGCACGGACUUGGGGAAUCCGACUGUCUAAUUAAAACAAAGCAUUGUGAUGGCCCUAGCGGGUGUUGACACAAUGUGAUUUCUGCCCAGUGCUCUGAAUGUCAAAGUGAAGAAAUUCAAGUAAGCGCGGGUCAACGGCGGGAGUAACUAUGACUCUCUUAAGGUAGCCAAAUGCCUCGUCAUCUAAUUAGUGACGCGCAUGAAUGGAUUAACGAGAUUCCUACUGUCCCUAUCUACUAUCUAGCGAAACCACAGCCAAGGGAACGGGCUUGGAAUAAUUAGCGGGGAAAGAAGACCCUUUUGAGCUUGACUCUAAUCUGGCAGUGUAAGGAGACAUAAGAGGUGUAGAAUAAGUGGGAGAUAUUAGACUUCGGUUUGGUAUCGCCAAUGAAAUACCACUACUCUUAUUGUUUCCUUACUUACUUGAUUAAAUGGAACGUGUAUCAUUUCCUAGCCAUUAUACGGAUAUAUUUAUUAUAUCUUAUGGUAUUGGGUUUUGAUGCAAGCUUCUUGAUCAAAGUAUCACGAGUUUGUUAUAUAAUCGCAAACAAAUUCUUUAAUGAGAGAUGCAUUUACUGUAUUAUUGAUUUGAAAAUUUGGUAUAACUCCAAUUACUCAGGUAUGAUCCAAUUCAAGGACAUUGCCAGGUAGGGAGUUUGACUGGGGCGGUACAUCUCUCAAAUAAUAACGGAGGUGUCCCAAGGCCAGCUCAGUGCGGACAGAAACCACACAUAGAGCAAAAGGGCAAAUGCUGACUUGA
rnacentral:rRNA from 1 species